GAGAACCUAUAACAUGUGUGUAUUUUUAUAAGUCUAGUGUUAUUGACGAUGUGAAACGCAUUUACAAUGAAGAACAUAUUAGGUAGGAUAACUCCAAACUUAACGGUAGAUUAAUUCCAUCGCAUUCAUUUUACAUAUUCAUGGUUUGCAUAUGCGUUUUGUGGGUUUAUUACUGAAUUCAUUUAGAUUUUUUUUUUUUUAAGUUAAAAC
rnacentral:lncRNA from 1 species